rnacentral:lncRNA from 1 species
UCUCCCAUUUCCCCUGAACUGUGCCUCUGGGUCCAAACCUCACAGCUACACAUCACCGAAUAUCUCCUCUUCUCUGCAUUUCAGUGUUUGUUUUCUUUACUCGUGUAUCUUUUAUAGUUGUCUCUUCCCACAGUCCCUGCCCAUUAUGGGCCCUUGACAGAUCCUUUCAUGAGUCAAUCUAUCAAUGGAGGGGGAAAGGGAGUUCACAUAACUCUCCAGUGUGUUCCAUUUGCAAGAGGAAGCCAAAGGGCCAUGGCAUUGACCACUGUCUCAUGGAAGGAAACUCAGAAGACAACGAUCUACUGUGCCUCUGCAGCUCAUAAGAGAACUGAGGUUCAGAGAGGUGAAGAGUCACACAGCUAGUCGGAGGGAACGUGAGGACUAGAACCCAAGUACCUGUCUGCACAUCAGCAUUGCUGAGAGCAAGAGGAAGAGAGAGGAGAGAAUCAGAGAAUCGGAGAGGAACUGGGCAAUAGAGGUAAAUACAGACAGAAAACGAAAAUGUCUGCAAUACCAAAAGCGCUUUUAAAGUCUAUUUUUCAAAAACGACCUCAAACUCUUCUUUCCAGGAACAAGCCACUUAUUUUCUGUGAUACCCAAAUCUUGCAGUAUACCAUUCUGUUACAGCGCAGAGUUUAUCCCCGACUCUGAGAGUGGGAAGAAGCAGAAAGACCCACGUAAUUUUGCUUGCCACCAAAUGCAGAAACUCUGCUCCCCUUCAUUCCCCAUUUGGCCUGUGGCAGGAAGCUCACGACUUCUGGAGGCUGUCUGAUUGUUUGUUGGGGCACUCUAAUUACUCAUUUGGUCUCGUGUUUUAAGCUCAAAGCUCCCUCCAUUAACUUGCCCUGGUUGGCACCAGCCCUACUCUGGAAGUCCAGAGGAGCCCACGCCUUGUGGAACACACUCAUACUGGAAUAGCAUUCACCUCUUAGUUCCCCCAGCCCUUCGAAUCAUUUCCUCUGUCAUAAGGUUGCUCUAGUUUAUCACUGGCUCUUCCAAACUGUAGCAGCUAGAACUAAACCAUCUCAAAUCCCCAGGCUCCAGUCCUCAGCCUUUGUUUUCUGGGCAAUUUUAUCCAUACCCAAAGCUCAAAUAGCUGAUGACUCCCAAAUUUAUGUAUGCAGCCCAGAAUCCUUGCAUUUCGGCUCCAUAUAUCCAGCUGGUACCUGGACAUCUACUUGGGUGUUCCUCAGAUAUCUCAAGGCCUAUAUGCCCCUGACUAUUUCUAGCACCUUCUCCACAUAGUUACUAGGCAUCUCCUAUUCCAUGGCUCUGUGAAUGGCUCACCACCACUUGGUUGCCUCAGACAGAAAUCUAGAACCCUCUUUCUCCUUCACCUUCCUCGUCCCAUUGUUGUCUAAAGUCAUCAACUACGCUUCCUUGUCCCAUUGUUGUCUAAAGUCAUCAACUACGCUUCCUUCAUAUUUCUUUUCUUGCGUCCCACCGCUCAUUCCUUAGUUCAGACCUUGGCUAAACGUUUAUGAAGUGAAUGUGCUCUAUUUUGCUUGCCCAAGGCUGCUGAGGCAUGUGAAGAACUGAGUCUUCUUUCUGACAGGAUUCUGUCUUUCUUUGUUAGGUUCACUUCCUCUCUGCCUGUGUUCUUAAUCUUCCUUCCCAGUCCUUCAAAAUGUUUCCAAAGUUGCCUGACUAGUAUAAAAUUGAUCAUGUCGCUCACCCCCUACUCAACAUUCUUCGAAGUCUUGCUGGAUUACCAGUGUUCUAAGCAUAGCUUAGGCUUCUGUGGUUGUGGCUGCUCAAUAAUGACCCUUGCCGUUUGACCUUUCACUUGCCUAAUGACCCUUGAAGCUAUUUGAUCACAUUUGUCAUGCAGCACACCGGCCCCUUCAACAGAUCCUACAAAGGUAACACGUUAUUGAUAGCCUGAGUUUAAACAUCUCAAUAGUAGCACAAAAAUGGUCAUGUUGCUAUUGUUUAUGUUUACCUUAUACAUUUAGGAAAGAACAAUAUUUAUUUCUUCUUUCCUGAUAAAUUGACCAAUCUUCCCUUUAGGAUGUCUGCGCUAAAUUAGUGCUUCUCAAAAUCUCUCUCCUCCGGACCUGGGUUUUUAUUAUUAAAACACAGUAAACAUUUUCCCUUUUUAUUUUUCAGUAACAUUUGUAAGAAAUAAUGCUGAGGAAGCACCGCUUACUCAAGGAUUUUGUAUACUGACUUAAAAGAUGGUGAAAUAAUAAGCAAAAUAAUAUUCUAUUACUUUGUCAUUUUCCAAAUAUGUUUUCUCAUCUCUCUUCUCUCUCUCUCCCUCUGUGCCAUACUUCCCCAUUACUGUCUCAACACUGGCCAUAUUUUUCUCCUACUUUGUGGCAAUGAUGGGCAAGAAUGCCUUUCAGGGUCAUUGUCGCAGUCAUUGUCAUCUAGUAACUGAAGGCAUUUAGUUAAGUGUAAAUAUACUCUUCAUCAUAUAUAAGUCCACAGCCGGCUGGACUUGAUCUUUCACUCACCAUUUGGCAUCAAAAAAUCAACGAAGCAGAAACCAGACUUCCCAAAACAUGUGCUUCAAAAUCAGAAAUCAUUAAGCAUGGUGUCUGCUUAAUUAAAUAAUAAGUUAUAAGGAAAGACUUAAAAAUACUAAACCUCUUCUCUUUUUAUGCUGAUUUCACUGUGCAGUUAGGGCUCAGAUCUGGAGAAAUACUUACGUUAUCUGAGUACAGGUGGAAGAGGAAAGCUAGCUUUAGGACAGCCAAGGUUAAGCGCAUUAAGCUCAGCUGGAUAAAGUUUUAAACAUAUAGAUGAACCAGUGAGUACAAAGUACUUCUCAAACCAAUUUUUCUCCAAUGAAGGUUUUACAAACAAAACUUGCAAUAUUUUGUCCCCUUCUGAUUCCCUCCUAGAGAAGAGGAUUACAUAAUUACCUGCACAGUUUUUAGAAUUUCUAGCUCUUUGGAUGGAUAACCGAACAAAGAAGCAAGCUUUCUGUUAUCUUCAGUAAUUGGGGAUUAUCUGUUAAUGGAAGUCCUAAUUCCUUUGAUGAUGGCACAAUGGUCCCUUUAAUUGGUCCCAUUAGGUAUGCUAACAGAUAUAAUGGUUUAUUUAGUAGAUAUAGUACCAACUUUCUUAAAUACUCAGGAAAUGAUGAUUAUAGAAAUAUCUCUAAAAAUAUUAACAAGG